AUUGAACGCUGGCGGCAGGCCUAACACAUGCAAGUCGAACGAGUGGCGGACGGGUGAGUAAUGUCUGGGAAACUUCCCGAUGGAGGGGGAUAACUACUGGAAACGGUAGCCAAUACCGCCUACCAUCGGACUUGCCCAUAUGGGAUGAGCUUGUUGGUGAGGUAACGAGUCACCUAGGCGACGAUCCCUAGCUGGUCUGCAAGGAUGACCAGCAAAACUGGAACGGGGAAACGGCCCAGACUCCUACGGGAGGCAGAAGUGGGGAAGAUUGGCCAAGGGGGGAAAGCCUGAUGUAGCAAUGCCGCGUGUAUGAGGAAGGCCUUCGGGUUGUAAAGUACUGUCAGCGGGGAGGCGUUACCCAACGAGGAAGCACCGGCUAACUCCGUGCCAGCAGCCGCGGUAAUAC
rnacentral:rRNA from 1 species